UGAAGAGUGGCCAAAGGGCAAAGGUAAAUUCAAAUCAGCAGCUGGUACAUCCUCUGCACAAGGGCUGUAAUCCUGUCUCAGGAGAUGACAGUUAUGGUUUAACAAGUCUCCAUGCUGUUGUUACUGUGAUAUUCUCCUAAUAUGGUGCACAUCCAUGAGGUCCUUGGUGCUCGCAGGAGAGCAAUGCUCACUGUGGGAUCCUCCCUUCAAGGAGCUACCAGAACUGAAGUAUUUUCUUCUGGAUGUGGCCCAGAAACCUGGGAGUUGUUGUGUGGUGUGUUCUGCUGGUGUGUUCUGCUUCCCCUCCGUGGCUGAUGGGCCAGUGAAUCAGUUGUGCACCCAGCCAGACACUUCUGCUAUGUAAAAGUUAUUUUAGACACGUUUCUGGUGUCCAUCAUAUCAUUCAUCAUAUAAAGUGCUUUUGACAAUGCACCAGUUGAGCUGUGCCAGUUGUGUUUCGCUCCUCUGACUGGGAGGAUGGAUGGAUGGAUGGAUGGAUGGAUGGGGGAAGCUUGGUGAGAAGAGCAAGGGAUUCUGCUCAGCUCAGCACAUUCAGCCUCGGCUCUGACUGUGUGAUGUUACAGGGCAGGUCAAAGUGUGAGAGAAGUGAGUGUGGAAAGGCAGAUAACCAGCAAUUUGCUGUGAGUAUGGCCAUUGAAGAGGAUCAGUGGACUUGGUUUGUCCAAAGAAAAAUGCAGAGAGAGAAAACAGAGGGAGAAGGAAGCAAACAGUGCAUCACGUGAACCAUCCAAGAAGUGGCUAAAGGAGCAGAACCAGAGAAGGAUAAAUUCAUGAAGCCAGGAGAGGGCUGCAGGAAUCUCAUUAUAAAUAUCAUAUUGAGUUGUGUAUCUCAAGAAAUCCCUGACUUUUCAUCUUUAUCUCUUUUUCUCAAGUGCAUUAACAGCUGACUUGUCCUUCUGGCUGCUCUCAGGUCUUUCUGAGCCAUCACUGCCCAUCCCAUGUGCCUCCCUCUCUUCUGGCUGCACCCAAGCUGAGUUUGCUGCAAGGAAACACUGCUCAGGCGAUGGAGUAUCCAUGUCAGCCCCCCUACGGUUAAAACCAACCUUGCCCUUUGAAAGCCCCAGUUCUUCCAGUCUGGCGACUGCAUGAAAUGUGGGAUGUAUUAUGUGCACUUGGCAAUAGAGGCAAACUUAGAGAAAACGGGAAAAGCAACAAAAACAACGACAAAAAAAAGGAAUCUUGAAAUUUGGCAGAAAAAAUGCAGCACACAAACCCCACAGGAAUGUGAGCAUCUUUGCACAAAGCCACUUAUGGAUGCAUUCCUUAAAGGUAAUCCCUUCAGACAGAGCGAAGCUGCCAUUUCUUUGAAAGAUAUUAAAGCAGCUGUUGCUAGAACAUAGAGAAUUUCUGAGCUCUCUGUCAAGGGAUGGACAUUUGUAAUGCUAUAGCUACUUUAUUUACAGUUUGAUACCAAAUUUCCAGCUACUGAAGGUAAUUGAGACUGCAAACAAAAUCUCACUAUCCACUGAUCUGCCAAAUCAAAUUUUUCCUCCUGUUUGCAAAAAAUAAGCACCGGUGAAUGAAGAUGAAAGGGAAAUGUUGCUGGUUUCUUCCCUGGAGAUCGUAUUUCUUACUUGUUGCAUAACUGCUUAUUUUAGCAUCAAUCAGCCGAGCCUUUGUUGUGCAGACAAUUCUGUCCUUUUAGAGGAUUUGUGCAGUAUUGUUUCUUCCAAAAUGCUUUUUUUUGUUGUUUUUGUUAUUAGAUUUAUUUCUUCUCUUAGCAAAUGCCAACUGACAACACCCCGUCAGAGCUCUUCAUAAGUGUUACAUAAAUGUCAUACUAUGUAAACUGAGUGUUGGAUGUAUCAUAUACACGACCUUUCUUGGAGAACCAUCCAUCAGGUGCUAUCUGAGUGUGUGUGUCACAUUUAUGUAUUUGUACACAAGCCGUGUUUAAGCGUGCACGUGUGGUAGCCAAAAUUCUAUGAUGGAAAGUACUCAAAAUGCAGAAAUGUCUGAACUCUUCUUGUCAGUGCAACUUCAUCUACCCCCUUUCGUCGAAGCAGAACAAGACUUUAAUUUCAUGUUCAGAUACUCUCUUCCUUCUGCAUCGCUGUGUGUGCAGUGAGAUGGUCAGCAAGGGGCUCAGUGAUGCCUAUUGUUCAGCACAUGAGCCUGGGCAGAGUACAUUAUUCAGCACAUUAUUCACAUGUCUGACCACUUCUGGAUUUCACAGCGAUAGAAAACACGGCUCAAAUACUUCUCGGUGCAGUUUUCGAAGCAGAGCAAG